GACGAACGCUGGMKGCGKKSCUAUACAUGCAGUCGAGCGGAGCACUUCGGUGCUUAGCGGCGGACGGGUGAGUAACACGUAGGCAACCUGCCUGUAAGACCGGGAUAACUACCGGAAACGGUAGCUAAGACCGGAUAACCGGUUUCUCCGCAUGGAGGGAUCGUGAAACACGGUUCCGAAUUAAUUUCGAGGGCUGUGGCUUACGGAUGGGCCUGCGGCGCAUUAGCUAGUUGGUGGGGUAACGGCCUACCAAGGCGACGAUGCGUAGCCGACCUGAGAGGGUGAACGACCACACUGGGACUGAGACACGGCCCAGACUCCUACGGGAGGCAGCAGUAGGGAAUCUUCCACAAUGAGCGCAAGCCUGAUGGAGCAACGCCGCGUGAGUGAGGAAGGCUUUCGGGUCGUAAAGCUCUGUUGCCAGGGAAGAAUAAGGGUGAGUUCACUGUUCAUCCGAUGACGGUACCUGAGAAGAAAGCCCCGGCUAACUACGUGCCAGCAGCCGCGGUAAUACGUAGGGGGCAAGCGUUGUCCGGAAUUAUUGGGCGUAAAGCGCGCGCAGGCGGUUCUUUAAGUCUGGUGUAUAAGUGCGGGGCUCAACCCCGUGAGGCACUGGAAACUGGGGAACUUGAGUGCAGAAGAGGAGAGCGGAAUUCCACGUGUAGCGGUGAAAUGCGUAGAGAUGUGGAGGAACACCAGUGGCGAAGGCGGCUCUCUGGACUGUAACUGACGCUGAGGCGCGAAAGCGUGGGGAACAAACAGGAUUAGAUACCCUGGUAGUCCACGCCGUAAACGAUGAGUGCUAGGUGUUGGGGGCAUCAUGCCCUCGGUGCCGAAGUUAACACAUUAAGCACUCCGCCUGGGKAGUACGGUCGCAAGACUG
rnacentral:rRNA from 1 species